GAUGAACGCUGGCGGCGUGCCUAACACAUGCAAGUCGAGCGAUCUCUUCGGAGAGAGCGGCGGACGGGUGAGUAACGCGUGGGUAACCUGCACUGUACACACGGAUAACAUACCGAAAGGUAUACUAAUACGGGAUAACAUACGAAAGUCGCAUGGCUUUUGUAUCAAGGCUCCGGCGGUACAGGAUGGAACCGCGUCUGAUUAGCUAGUUGGUAAGGUAAUGGCUUACCAAGGACACGAUCAGUAGCCGACCUGAGAGGGUGAGCGGCCACACUGGAACUGAGACACGGUCCAGACUCCUACGGGAGGCAGCAGCGGGGAAUAUUGCACAAUGGGCGAAAGCCUGAUGCAGCAACGCCGCGUGAGCGAUGAAGGCCUUCGGGUCGUAAAGCUCUGUCCUCAAGGAAGAUAAUGACGGUACUUGAGGAGGAAGCCCCGGCUAACUACGUGCCAGCCGCCGCUGUAA
rnacentral:rRNA from 1 species